rnacentral:rRNA from 1 species
AGAGUUUGAUUAUGGCUCAGGAUGAACGCUGGCGGCGUGCCUAACACAUGCAAGUCGAACGGAGUUACGAGAGCUUGCUUUUGUAACUUAGUGGCGGACGGGUGAGUAAUGUAUGAGCAACCUGCCUUUCAGAGGGGGACAACAGUUGGAAACGACUGCUAAUACCGCAUAAUGUAUUCAGGAGGCAUCUCCGGGAUACCAAAGGAGCAAUCCGCUGAAAGAUGGGCUCAUAUCUGAUUAGCUAGUUGGUGGGGUAACGGCCUACCAAGGCUGCGAUCAGUAGCCGGACUGAGAGGUUGAACGGCCACAUUGGGACUGAGAUACGGCCCAGACUCCUACGGGAGGCAGCAGUGGGGAAUAUUGGGCAAUGGGCGAAAAACGCCUGACCCAGCAACGCCGCGUGAAGGAAGAAGGUCUUCGGAUUGUAAACUUCUUUUAUGAGGGACGAAGGACGUGACGGUACCUCAUGAAUAAGCCACGGCUAACUACGUGCCAGCCGCGGC